UACGAAGGGGGCUAGCGUUGCUCGGAAUUACUGGGCGUAAAGAGCUCGUAGGUGGUUUGUCGCGUUGUUCGUGAAAACCGGGGGCUUAACCCUCGGCGUGCGGGCGAUACGGGCAGACUGGAGUACUGCAGGGGAGACUGGAAUUCCUGGUGUAGCGGUGGAAUGCGCAGAUAUCAGGAGGAACACCGGUGGCGAAGGCGGGUCUCUGGGCAGUAACUGACGCUGAGGAGCGAAAGCGUGGGGAGCGAACAGG
rnacentral:rRNA from 1 species